CUGAUCGAUGCAAGAUCAACAUCACUGUGGAUAUGACAUCUUCCACAAAAUUGGACAGGUUGUUACAGGAGUAUGGAAAUGCAACUUCCUCCAGGCUCCGUUAUUUAAAAAGUUCCAAACAAUUUGGGAAGGAUCUGGGAAAGGUUGAUAAAUCCCAUAUCCGAUUUGUGGACACUCAGGAAAAUGCUGAACCCCAUAUAGAAUAUGAUGCCAUCCCUCUCAAAAUAUUGGGUUAAAAAAAGUAAUGGAAUGUCAUCAAGGACACGGCAGAGACAAAAUGAAACAGCUGAAAGCAAGAGAAGAUUCUGGCCACACCUAUAAACCAAAGUGUCGUUUGGUGCAGAACAGCAAAAAGAAAGCUUGUCCUGUUGGAAUUAAAAUUCGACUUGUUGUGAAGUUCUUAAGCUAUUCGGUUGAUAUUAGUUUCCACCAUAAACUAUUAAAAAUUUUAUCAUUAUAUGUAACGUGUUAAAAUGUUCAGUGUUUAUGUAAAGAUUGAUUUAUGUUUUACUGUUUAAUAUUAGCUAUGACAAGCUAUAUGUAUGAGAUACUAAGAAAACUAAUGUGAAUAUUAAUUGAUGCAUUUGUGUCAGUAGUAGUGUCAAUAUUUGAACAGAUACAAUUUCAAUAAAAGCUUUCAAGUGAAGAAAACACACCUCAUCAGAAGAAGAAACUGGUUACGAAUCUUAAAGAAGACCUGAAAAAUUC